rnacentral:lncRNA from 1 species
GGUGGAUGCCAUUGAUGAGUAUGCUGUUGGACAACUAAAGGAGUAUGAUGGAAAGAAAUUGGUGUCGGCUACAAAGGAGGGACUGAAGUUGGAUGAUGAAACAGAGGAAGAGAAAAAGAAGAAAGAGGAGAAAAAGAAGUCAUUUGAGGAUCUCUGCAAGACAAUCAAGGACAUUCUGGGAGACAAAGUUGAGAAGGUUGUUGUGUCUGAUAGAAUUGUUGAUUCACCCUGCUGUUUAGUGACCGGUGAGUACGGUUGGACUGCGAACAUGGAGAGGAUCAUGAAGGCUCAGGCAUUGAGGGAUAGCAGCAUGGGCAGCUACAUGUCCAGCAAGAAGACCAUGGAAAUCAACCCAGAAAAUGGCAUUAUGGAGGAGUUGAGGAAGAGGGCUGAAGCUGAUAAGAAUGAUAAGUCAGUGAAGGACCUUGUAUUGCUUCUGUUUGAGACAGCACUAUUGACUUCUGGUUUCAGCCUUGAUGAUCCAAACACCUUUGCUGCAAGGAUCCAUAGGAUGUUGAAGCUUGGUCUUAGCAUUGAUGAGGAAGAAACAGUUGGGGAUGAUGUUGACAUGCCUGCAUUGGAAGAGGAUGGUGCAGAGGAGAGUAAGAUGGAAGAAGUGGAUUGAAGGGCAUAAAGGUGCACUGCUAUAUAGUUUUUAAGUUGAUAUCUUUGUUAAUGGUGUCUGAGUCAGUUUUUUAGUUAAUAUUUUUGUAAUGUGGAUUCGCCUUGAAGUUUAGUAUUUUUGUCCUUGUUUUGUAGUUUCUGUGAUUUGGAACUGUGUCUCAAUGCCUGUGUGUAUACAUCAAAUGAAUAGUAUUUUUGUCAUUGUUUUGUGAUGUGAAUGUGUCUAUGCGUCUAUGCCAAAUAUACACCGAAUGAAAAAUGUCAAUGCUUUUUACUUCGGACUUUGCUCUAUUGCUACAAAGACUACCUUGAGUUAAGUAAUAUAAGUUUGGAAAUGAAAUAGAUCUGGAAGCAAGGAUGCAUUCUUGUCAAAUAUGGUAGUAUAUUCCAAGAGGUGUGAUUGACUAAUUUUUUUUAAUAAUUAAUUUUUUUCAACCAAUCAAAAUUGAUGAUAUAGAGUGAUAUAAAAAUUGGGAUAAAUCUUUUCCACUACCAACUUAUCGUUGGGCAUGUGUAAGUGGGAUAAUUAAUUUUUUGCUUGCUAGGAUGGUAUCUAACGUCGCUUUCUUUGCUUGCAGCAAGUAAUUUUGUCUAAGUAUGUAUUUAUACGAAUUCAAAAGAUACAUAUAUUUUAAAAUUUUGAAUGGUGCUUUUUUAGAUUUUCCGGAACUAUUUUUUAUAUCUAAUUAUAAACUAUCAAUUAGAAACCUAUUUUUGUUGUCAAAUAAAUUAUAAAUAAAAAUAUUUCACAUUUCAACAGUUUGGUUUUAGUAAUUUUUUCACAAUAAAGCUAUUAUAUGGGGAAACCUUUUGAUUGAAGAAGUGUAAUAAAACCUCAGUAGGUUUGGAGUUUUUUAAGAAGAAAAUAGAAAAAGGUAAAAAAGGAACGAAGUGAAUAGAGGAGGGCUCUGAGCUGAAGGAUCCAGAGAGAGAAAAGGGGUCGAGGGAAAAAAGUAAAGAAAGGGAAAGACCAGCUAGAGUGCCAAAAGAAAUGUACAAGAAUACUAAUUAAUGGAGAUAGAAGUUUAUGUUUCUCUCUUUUGUUUUUAAGAAGAAAAUUCUAAUUUUAUUUUAAUUAGAAGGAAAAACAUAUUAUUGAAACUAUUUUUCUCUUUAUUUUUUGAAAUAUUUGUCUUUCUAUUAAUGAAAAAAGUUAUAACUCAAUAGAAAUAUAGCUUUCUAAAAAGAGAAAGAAGAUAAAAAACACAUAGAAAAGAAUGGAGAAAUGAUAUAAAAGACUUCAUAGUCUUUCAUGCCUUCUUAUAAUGGGGUAGUAAAGGGUCACAUAUAAAUUUGGAGAGGAUUCACAUUCUUAUAGCUUAGAAAAAAAAUUCCAAAUAAAAACACCAAUAACAAGGCAUAUCAUCAUCCUAAAAAAAGGCAUCUCAUCUUUAAUCCUUGGACAAGCCGUCAAAAAGGCAAUUAUAGGAUUUGGGUGAAGCAUAUCAUAGGAGAACAAAAUAUAUAGGCUUAAUGUGAAAUACUAUAGAGAUUAUGUGAAUUUGUUCUCUAUGUACCCAUAAUUGAGAACUAGAAGGUUUACCCCUGCAAGAAGAUACCUCUACCACAAAAAUAAACUCAUUUUUUAUUAUUUCAUCUCAAUAUUUCAUUGGUCAAUCCAACCAUACCCUCCUUCAACCAAGCUUGUUUUUUUUCAUAAGUGAAAUGUAUACCAAUAUAAGGAAAGUCUAUAUGAGAUCUUUUUAGAGUAUAUGUUUUUAUAAUGAGUAGGAUCAUUAUAUCAAUUAGUAAAAUUUAAAGGAAUAGAGUAUGUUGUAGCAAUAAAUUAGCUCGGUUCUAGCUUAAUCAAAUCCAUAAUACGAAUAUAAUUCGCAUCCUUGUUAGAAAAGAUACGGCCAUUUCUCAUAACCCUAAUAAACCACAUACCAACAAACCAAAUCAUUCUCUAAAACUUUGGCCCCUUAGAAUUCUACCGAUAUUUUCAUGCAAAAUCAGUGACUCAAUAGUUGAAAUAGGGAUUGGCUUCGGAACCUGAAAUCAAGCAUAUAUCCUUUCUAAACAGAAGAAGCAAACUUGCGAUUACUAUUGGCAAUUAGGAUCGGUCUACUGCUCUGCUCAUGUCAACACAAUGCCCACCAAAAUUAGGGCGAGCAUGGACAUUCCUGUUUUUAAAUAGGACAUAAAAUAUCACGUCUUGCCCGCCCUAAACUUGGGCAGGGCGGGCUUGUGGACUUCCCUAAAUUAAAAAAAAACUAUAAAUGAUCUAGUAAAUAAAACAUUGCAAGAUAUUAUAUUUUGCCUCUCUUUUUUUCACUGCUAAAACAUUGCAAUAUUCAUGUUAUCAUACUUGAGAUUACAUGAAUGCACAGUGUAACAGUGAGAUCUAAAACACAGAACAUAACACAUUGUUUUGCAAAAUCAGACAUGUAGUUAAUUAGUAAAAUAUUAUAUUUUAGAAAAUUACUAUAUUGUACUUGAGCGCUGAGAACAUGAAUUACUCUUGUCAUACUUGGUCCAUCAAAUUUUUUAUUGUAAUAUUCAUUGAUGCUUGUUGGCCGCCCUAUCCGCCCGUUUGAAAUACUCGUGGGAAAAAUAUAUUUCAUGCCCUGCCCGCCCAAAACGUGCGGGCGGGCCCCAUGAGCAUGAUCCAAAUGACCAAUGAUGCUCGUAUUAAUGAACAAAAGAUCAAUUGAUUCACGAUAAUACUUACAAAUUGCACACUUUAUGUCCUCAACCGUAGAUAUUGCAUUCCUCUUAAAUAAUUCAACCCUCGCCGAAAGUACUGCUCGGGUGAGCUUUCACACAAAACAAAUUUUAGAAGGAAUACAAUUUAACCAAGACUUUGACAGAGGAAUACCUAAAAGAAGUAAUGUGAUGAGUGUGUAAUUAUGCUACAUUUGCAUUACAUUUAACUUGCAUUUGAUGACAUAAUUAAGACUUUAGGAUUGUUUUUAGCAUUUAUUUCUCUUUGUUCGAGUUGAGCGAGUGUUUUUGGCUAUGUUGUGCAGUUUGAAUGGAUUGAAGCCAAAAAGAGUAGAGAUUGGGUGCAAGAAGAUGAAAUUCGAUAUUGAGGCCAUGCGAAGACUAAUUGAAGGGCCAAAAGAAGUCGCAUUGGAGCCUGGAUCGAAUAUAAUCAACUUGAAGUGAAGGCGCCACAUACACUCAUGGUCGUGGAUGACAUAUUUUAUUCAUAUUUUUAGAUUUGUUUUGUCGGGCUUAGCCCAAUAGUUUGUAAUUAGGAUAAAUGAGGGUUCUCCCUCAAUGAUGACACACUUUACAUUACAAUUCUCUAAUUUAGAAUUUGGUAUUGUCUUCUCCAUCAUGAGUGAGUAAUUCCCUCUGUUUCUAGGAUUGGGCUAUGCAUUUUUACAUUCAAUGAACACUUGUUGUUACUUCUAUUUUAUUGGAUGUUGUGAUUUGAAUCAUUCAACUGAUUUUUACUAGUGUGAGUUGUCUGGCCAACAAAUUACAUCGCUUAGAUACAUUGGGAAGGACCAAGAAAUGAACCCAACUAUCCGAUCUUUCAGUUAUUCAAACUAAAAUCCUAAUUCACGAGAGCAGUCUUAGGAUUCUCGGGGGUUUCUAGAAUUCACCUAGGGUUGCUACGAAGCGAUUGGAUAGAAAGAUUCAAAUAAAGGAUUUGAUUGAUAACUAUAGCAUGAGAGUAGGUGUGACUUCAAUUAAAUACAUGUGUCGGAGCUCGAGAGAUGAUGACAUAUGUGAAAAAGCAAUUCACUAUCACAACUUAAAGUUCAUGAAAAUGAGCAAAACAAGGAUUUGCGAGUUUAAAGGCGGUAACCCUUAUCCUGGGAACUCUGCCUAAAUUAGAUUUCAAUUUUUUUUUAAUAUUUUCAAAAUUAUUUUUGUCAACUGUUCAAUAGUUCUAAAUUUACUUUUAAUUCAUCUUUGAGUUAAGUAUAAAUUAAUUGUUAUAACUAAAUGAAUUUUCUAGUCCUUGUGGGAUCAAUAAUUUAUUACUUGACGACAUAAUCGUGCACUUGCGAUUUGCCCUAUCAAGUUUUUGGCACCAAUGUUAGGGAUUGUGUCAAAAUUUCUUUAAUUCUCAAUUAAUUCAUUACUUUACUCUAGUGUAUUACACGAUUUUCAUUUUCUUGGUACCUCUGCAGGUUUCUCAUUUGGUUUAUGCAAAGUUUGAAUUAUUACCCAUAGCAAAAAAGACUUUCUGUAGAAGAAGAAGACAACAAAGAGAAAUAGCAAGAGAACGACGUGCACAUGUACGAACAAUGUCUGAACGAGAUGAAAAACCACUUCACGACUAUGCAGCCCCUAAUGCUUUUCACAUCUUGGAAUAAUAUGGCCAAUUAUGGAGGCAGAUAACUUUUCUUUGCUAUAUGCUCUGAUCCAAAUGGUGAUGCAAAACCAAUUUGGAGGUGGAGCUCAUGAAUAUCUGAAUGCCCAUAUUGAUCAGUUCUUAGAAUUCUGUGAGAUUGUAAGGAUCCAUGAGGCUUCUAAAGAUGUCAUUCAUGUCCGCAUGUUUUCAUAUUCCCUUAUAGACAGAGCUAAGACGUGGCUAAUGAAUCAAAAUGGUGAAAUUCAAGCGACAUGGUGAACUUUGGAGGAGGCUUUUCUCAACAAAUAUUUUCCUCCUUCUAAAACUGUGCACUAUAGGCACCUCAUCUAAAACUUCAGUCAAAAGGAUGGUGAGUCAAUUGCUAAGGCUUGAGAAAGAUUAAAUGAGCUAACUAAAGCUUGCCAUCGUCAUGGUAUUCCACAUAGGAUGUUGGUUAAGAACUUCUACAGUGGGCUAGACUUUCCAUCACAACAAUUGUUGUACUCUUCGGCUGGUGGGGCCUUUAUGUGCAAAGAAAUUGAUGCUGCUUCAAAGAUCAUAAAGAAUGUGGUUUCCAAUCAUCAUCAAUGGGCGAAUGAGAUGAGACAUCAUUCAAGGAGAGACUUUUUUGAACAACAUUCAAAAAUCAAAUGGAAAAGGUAAUUUCCACGCUGGAGAACCUUUCUCAAAGGUUUGGAAAGCUAGAAAAAUACCAUGCUAAUGCUAUUGGGUCUACUAGAACAUGUGAAUGGUGUGGAGAAAAAAGGCGUGAGUUGUCUGAAUGCAAACAAUUCACUAAACUUGUACAUGGAGCUUAGUCCAUUGAACAACCUGAAUCAUGCAAUUACUAUGAUUACAAGGAGAUGAGCGAACAACAAUUUAACCCACCAUACAGGCAAAAAAUCUCAACCUUUCCUACAGGAGGAACAACACUCUAAAUCAUCAACAUCAGGAUGAGCAAGGUAAUAGAAAACCUAUGAUACAGUUUCCACAGGUACAAUCUUCUCCUAUUGAUCCCACUCUUAUAACAAUAAUGGAAGCUCGAGAAAAAUUUCUUGUUAACCUUAAUAAAUUUCAAGAGGAUCAAAUCAUGAUUAAUAAAAAUGUUGCAAAUAUGUUAAAUUAUUUGAAUUCUAAGAUGAAAAAUUUGACCAUCCAUGGAAAAAUGUUAAAAACACAAAUUGUCCAACUAGCUAGUAACUUUAAUAGGCAAACAAGGAUGUUUCCAGGACAACCAAAGAAAAAUCCAAAUAAUGAACAUUGUAAGGCUAUCUUAUUAAGGAGUGGGAAGGAACUCAAGGAUGUUCCUCGAACUGAGAAUGAUAUACAAGUGGAAGAGAAACAUACUAAGACACAACUCCCUGAAGAUGAACAAAAUUCUGAAAAUGUGUCUACGUAUGUAGCUCCACCACCAUAUGUGCCACCAAUUCCUUUUCCCCAGAAAUUUGCAAAGGCAAAGUUAGAAAAGAAAUAUGGGAAAUUAUUUGAUAUCCUUAAGAAAUUAAAUAUUGAACUGUCCUUCAAUGAGGCACUACAAGAGAUAUAUGCGUACAUGAAAUUUCUUAAGGAUAUUCUAUCUAAAAAGAGAAGACUAAAGGAUUAUGAAACAAUUGUUUAACUUAGGAGUGCAGUGCUUUAAUUCAAAAUAAAUUGCCUCCAAAACUAAAAGAUCUUGGUAGUUUCUCUAUCUCUUGCUUAAUUGGUAAUACUAAUUUUGAUGGUGUUUAUGUAAUGCCCCAAAAAUUAGUCCAACAAUCUUGCUAAAAAAUGGGUAAAUUGUUUUUUGAAUAAUGAAGCCAUAUAAAAUUUAUUUCCUUAUAUUCAUUUCAUUUUCAGAACAUCACUUUAAGUAACAUAGAAUGCAGAAAAUCAAAAACCAUUACUUAAUGGUAACCAUAAAUAACUGAAUAUAACUUUGAAUAAUACUUCAUUAUAAUAUCAGAAAUGUUGGUACAAAGUACAAGGUGGAAUCCUAAUCGUCACCCAAAUAAAACUACUCCCAAUAUAAAUACCCUGCAUAGGUACCCUAAUCAAAAAGCAAAAUAGAAAUGGGAACAAUUCCUAGCGGCUAGCCCCAUCGUCUGCGGGUGUGCUGGAACACUCGCUUGGGUCCUCCUCUAUCUCCGAGUCAGAGGAGAGGUUGACAACUUCAAUGGAGUCCUCAAUGUUGAUCAACUCCUCACAAUCAUCCUCUUAAGUUGCUGGCUCCUCUUCCUCUGCCACCAUCUCCUCCUCUGGCUCAUAAGAUAAAUGUUGCGAGGGAGUCACCACCCUUGCAUCCGCCCGGAGGUCUGGCAUCGUCCGACGGGCUGCUACCCUCCAUACUAGGGAACUGAUCACAUCAUACCAAGUCUGUCGCCUCCUAGAAGUCCCUGUAGCGUCUAGCCCCUGAGGGGUCACAAAGUGGGUCGAUGGCACAGUAGGUGCCGACCUUUGAGGUGGGAGGGUGUAGGAAGCCUCCAGCUCCUCGUGAUGGUAGGGAAAGCGCAUGGAAGAUUCAUCACACACCAUCUCUAUCUCUAAGGCACAAGGGCCUGUGUUGGUGUAUCUAUGACCAUCACUACUCCAUGCCCCCUCCUGGGACAUCGAAAAGUGGUAACUCCGAAUCUUGACUUAAUGAUCCAUAUGAACAAACACGAAUAGAAGACAAAUAGAAAGAAGAGGGAGUAAGACAUCUAAUGAAUAUUACUCAUUGACGGCGUGGAAUUACAUAGAAUAUUACAUCCAGACAGACAUGCAUAAGAUACACAAUAUAUAUAUAUAUAUACAUAUAUCACAUACAUAAAUGCAAAUGAUGAAUGACGUUAUAACUCAAACCAUGAGAAUAAAUAUUCACGUGCUCAAUUCAUAACCUGCGCGCCAAAAACAUCAUCACAUCGGCCCUAUCAUACAAUGAAUUCUUUAGGGUCUCACAGUGCCAUAAUGCGAAAGAAAUGUGAAAUAUUCACGUGCUCAAUGUAUGAAUGCUAUGUUUAUUUCAUCCAUCCUUACACCCAUAUCCUCCCAAUAAACUAUUCGGAAAUUACCGAGAGUGCAGGUCCCAUAGCAAGCCAAUUUGAAUGCACCAAACUAUUCCUCACAAGGAUAUAUGAUCGAUCUGUUCUAAAGAACUAUCCAUUUCAGGAUGGUGUCGUAUCAAACACUUUCUGGGCAUCCCUCUCAACGAUCCUGAUUGAAAAGAGGGGUUGUGAGAGAUCAUCUAGUUUGCAUUGUGAGAACUAUCUGAUCCAACAGAAUACCUCAUCCAAGAAUACAAGGGACUCGUCUCACCUAGACUCACCCUCAAGACUUUGCUGACGAAUCACCACCAUCACCGUCCCUCUCAACAUCUCGGGGCUCGUUCGUCUUUCGUAAAUUUUCUCUCUACUACUUCAUUAUCCAUAAUGAGUAUGCACACUAACCGAGGUUAGCCAAUUAAAUCUUUUAAUCAUUCUUUUAUAUGAUCGUCCCAACCUAAGACAUCUCCCAAAGGAAUGCUUCAUGUGGGGCCCGAUCUUACGUCAUCAUGUAAUAGAGGAAUAACAUCCUUACCACUACGAACCAUCACCGAAUAUCUUGGACGACCACAUGGCCAAGCCUCUUAGAGUCAGACGACCUCGCUGCAUGGUAUCAUGUAAUCCUUUUUGGGCAUUGCCCUAAUCACGACAUUACAGUCGGAAACCUUGCCCUAAAUAGGUACAAGAACAAAGGUACUUGUAUAAGUUUGUCGAUUUUGGGCACCAGACUCAAUCAUCGGAGUCACGGUCUUUCCCAAGAGUAAAUAUACUUCACACCCAAGCUAGGUCUAUUGCCUAAGCAAACAAACAAUCAGAAACAAUAAAAAAUUAUGUAUGUCUCUCGCUUGAGCGAGAGACUGUUUCUCAAGCGACAAACUCAUCAAAACAAACUCAAUUCUCUUCUUAAUUCUCGCCCAAGCGAGAGACUAUUACUCAAGCGAUAAAUCCAUCAAAAAUUGGUCAAAAUACCUGUCUGGUCCUUGCCCGGACGAAGCAUGGUCGCUCGGGCGCCAAAAACGCCAAAAACGGGCUGCCUGGCCCUCGCCUAGGCGCCAAAUUGGGCCUCAACUCUUGCCUCUCCCUCGCCCAUAUGAGACUGGCUUGUCCGGGCGAGGUGGUCCAGUUCCUCGAACCAUAUUUCUCACCCUUUUGGGCUACCGGGUCGAAACUCUCUGUUGUUUUCGAUCCCUAUGCAUUUUAGUUUCUCGAGUGGUAUUCCUUCAUGGAUAACUACCACAAUACUUGAUAUUUUAAGCUAUCCUAAGCAUACAACUUAAGAAAGUAUUCGGACAAAAUCCAUGCCCGCAAAUAUAUGAUUAAGUACGGGUUUUCUUAAUACACAAAUAUAACUCCAAACUUUUGAGAUAGUUUAGGAUAUCCAAGUGUCAUAUUCAGACACCACUAUGUCACGAUGUAUUCUCCCUCACCUUAGGUUGUCGCAUGCUUGCUUUCUUUUAGGAGAGAGUGGGUUGAUCGUCCAACUUUGAAAGCUUCGAAACUAAACACACAAAAACAAUUUAGUGAUUUGCGAAUCAAAUUUACAUGACAACCGUAAAGUAAAAACAUUGUUUAACACUUUAAUCCAUUUAUGAACUCAACGACUUUCAUCCACCCGAUCCAAGAUUUAUAUUUUUGAACCAUCCUUUAUCAUUGAAAGUCUUGUUCCCGAUUUCCAAUGUUUUCCAAGAUAAGUUUUUAAUAAAGUUUACACUUUUAUCACCUCAUAGAUUUAUAUUUUCAUGGAGACUUUGUAAGCCAUACUUCACCAUUUUAAGGUAAGUUUCUUAAUCCAAGUCUACACUUUUNNNNNNNNNNNNNNNNNNNNNNNNNNNNNNNNNNNNNNNNNNNNNNNNNNNNNNNNNNNNNNNNNNNNNNNNNNNNNNNNNNNNNNNNNNNNNNNNNNNNUUUAUAAGUCAUUUUUUAUCCCAAAUCAUUACUUGAGCUUGGAAGUCAAAGAAUAUCAUUUACUAACCAACUUUUAACUCAUAAUAUUCUAAAACAAGACUUUUUCAUAAAACUCAUCCAUAAAUAUUUUGGAUUUCAAAGUUAGAAACUAAACUUUUCCUAAACACAUACCGACCAUGAUUUAGACCUAAUGCUAAGGAAAGUUUUGAUCCUUCAACUUAUCAUUAAACACUUUAAAGGUUCUUUUGAUAACAAAACGACCACCUUUGAAACAAAAUCAAACUUCAACAUUAAAAAUAUACUAUUCUAAACUUGUCCAAGGCUAUGGUUUUUCAAGCAAAAAACAAGUGAAAAAGUCCAAACUUUGCAUGGUUAGGAAAACUCCUUAAAGGUUCCUUUGAUAUACAACCAUCACCUUUAACUAUGUUCAAAUACUAACAAACGUAUACACUUUCUAAACAUUAAAAAACAGUCCCAUGAACACAAAGAGUUAAUGGUUUCAAAAUAAUUUUCUAAGUUCAAGAAAAUAUCUAUUAGGAGUUUUAAACAUAAAAAGAGUUAGGAAGAUAUUUAGAACAUUUCAACGGUUGAAGAUGUUCAUAACAUAUAUGUAAACAUCAUACUAAAAUUUCAUAAACAUCUAAUGGUUAGAUCUUAAGAGAUGAACAAAUCAAAAGGAAAAACCACGAAGAACUACCUUGAGAGUUCUUAGAGAAUGCAAAGUGAAGAAAGAGUUUGAAAUGCCAAGGUAUACUCUUAGCUAGGGUUUGGCUCCUUAAAGAGAGAAAUCAUAUUUGGGGGAAAAAUCAAUGGUUUUUCAAAAAGUAGUUUGUGUAAGAGAUAUAUAUGUCAGUGAUUUUAGGGAUUUUGUGUAAGAGGAUAUGUACUUUUGCUUAUUUAACAAGUAAUCCUCUUACAUGAAAGUGAUGCAACCUUUUCAAUGAUACAUUCUUGAUUAAACCAUGCCCGAGUGUUGUCGGCUGAUACCCGGUAGGAUAAUAAAAAUCUUCCAAUUUCGGUUUACGGUUAGAACUUCGAAACACAAAAUUCGGAGUGAAAAAUAUUUAGAAAUGUGUUAGGAACGAACUUGAUGUUUAUCUUAACUCGAAAUAAUAUUUCAAAGCCAAUGGCGCAAUCGGAAUUCGAUUACAAGUUAUGGAACUCAAAAACACGUUAUUGAGCCGAACUCGGGUGAAUUUGGGCUAGACAGCAGCUUAAAAACCUUUCGUCACAGAAAAGUACGAAAAUUUACCUCAAAAUAGAAAAUCACAAAAAAAGACUAACACUCAAAAAUGGUUUUGCUUAAAUCAAUACCGAUUAAUUUCUAAAAUUAAUCGUUGGUAAAAUAAAUAAUUAAUAAACCAUACACAGAAAAUUCACGAUGUUGCACUUUAUGUGACUUAGGGGCAAGUGUGAGCCUCAUACCCUUAUCCGUGUGUAAAAUAUUGGAUGUGGGUGAAAUAAAACCCACUACUAUAUCACUUCAAUUAGCGGAUAGGUCAGUUAAAUUUCUUAUAGGCAUAUUGGAGGAUGUUCCUAUCAAAGUUGAGAAAUUUUACAUUCCAAUAGAUUUUGUAAUACAAGAGAUGGAAGAAGAUGCACAUAUUCCAAUUAUACUAGGUAGACCAUUUUGGCUACAUCUGGUAUCAUAAUUGAUGUUAAAAAUGGAAAACUUUCCCCAAGCAUAGGGGAUGAAAAAGUUGAAUUUGAUAUUGCUAAAUCAAUUAAACAACCUUCUCUUGAAGACUCAUGUUUUAGGGUUGAUAUGCUAAACCAUGUAGUGAAAGAGAAAGUGUCUAAAGUGAAAUAUGAAAAUCUCUUGGAGAGAAGCAUGCUGGAAGGUGACACAUCAAAUUUUGAUGAGGAAGUGGAUGAUGGUAGUGAUUGUAUAAAUGCAAGCUCAACACUCCCCUACAACCCACAUGAGAAAGGCUUAAGGAUCACACCUAAAUCUGAUAAUUAGGAGAAAAGGGAAAUCACCUAAAACAAAUGUAAAAACACUUCAUCCACCCUCGGGUAUGAGUUCAUGGGAUCCCGCGUGAUGCGUAGGGAUCAACCGUCAAGAUAAUGACGUUAAACAAGUGCUUCGUGGGAGGCAACCCACACUGAAGGUACAUUUUUUUAAUUUAUUAAUUUUAGUAUUUUAGUGUCGACUUUAGUGUCUCCCUGAGUUCGGAGCCUUUGUAGGGCAUGUAUAUAUUGUCGGUAAAAAAAAAAUCAUAAACUCUAAAAAGAAUCAUAAACUCAAAAAAGAUUAUAAGAUUUCAUGGAAAAAUGCUAAUACUGUAGUGCCUAUUAGUUGCCCCAUUUAAGUACAAUAUUUGCACAUAGUCCAUCUAGGACAUAUGGGUCAUUUGAGACUUUUUUUUCCUUUUUUUUGUACUUCCAUUACACCCAAUAAAGUCAACCACUUAUAAUUGUCACGUGAGUUGAGGAUACUUCCUACCUAACCCGUGAAUUUACUUUUUCAUUAUCUUAUUGUUUAGAUUUUUACAUUGGGAAUAAUGUAAAUUUCUAAGCUUGAGAGAGGUUUGCAUUUAGAUAGUCCAUUCAUGCCAUGCAUACCAUAUAGAUUUUGAAUUUUCUUUAGGUUGAAUAUUCAUAUUAUCAUGCAUUAGCAUAUGUUUCAUAUCUCAUCUAUCAUCUGUUUUGUUUUAUGUGUUGUCUUUCUACUUUAAAUGAAAAUUGAUGCAUGAAUGAUGAUUAUUGAUAUGUGAUCUCAUAGAAUAACUUUUUUUUGAUAAAAUAAUAACAUGAAAGAUAUUAGAUUUGACAAUUAUGAAUUAAAUUUGGUUAAAUACAGGUCUUUGUUUCAUAACUUUUGCUGAAUGAACCAAAUGUGAGAAACUUGGACCAAACACAAUAAAAGUUAUGAUUUGAAUUGAUAAUUGCAUAAAAACCAUUUUUCUUUCAUGAGUGCAUAAUUUUCUAUGAUUGUACAUUCUAGAACAUGAUUUGUGACAGUUUCACGAUUGAAGUCUGUUUGUAUGUAUUAAAAUGAUAGAGGCAAUUAUAACUCUUUCUUUUGAGCUUCAACUGCUUGCUAUAAACAUUGAAAACUCAUUAAUUGCCUAUUUUUCAUUUUGAACUUUAAUCAAUUUUCAUAGAUACUCAAAUGAGGGUUUGGUGUAAUUUGUGAUGUUUGGUUGAAGCAAUGGGAAAGGUAAAAAUGUCUUGUGUAGUGAAAGAAACCAUAAAAAUAUGAAAAGGAAAAAAAUCAUCAUUUCUCUUUUAGAAAAACUAAUAAGAAUGAAUAAAAAAUGAAAAAAUAAUACAAAGUAUACUAAAGGAUAAAUGGUUGAAAAAGUAUAAUGUAAAAAGAAGGGUUGAUCGAAAAAGGAUCAUAUGAUAAAGUAAUGAUAUUAAGAGAAUCUCAAUGCUUCAAUCAGAUGUCUACAAAUUUUAAGUAUUUUGGGAAACAUUUAUAAGUUUUUUGAAGUACUCAUUCUUUGUUUAUCACACCUUAAAUCAUUCAACUUGGCCAUAUUACAAUCAUUUAAAGACCUCUUGAUUUUUGCAUUAAUUCAAAUAUAGUCAGUGGCGAUUUGGUCUAUAAUCAAGCCUAUGGUAAUUUUCAUUCAUGAAAAUUUGAGCGAAAUACUAUGACCUUUAAACACAUGAGAGUGGUGAGAGAAAAUUGACUUUAAUUCAUGCAGCUGUUAUGAAUCAAAGACUUAGCUUGAAUUAAAUUUGUUUAUGAUUGUCUUGUCUUGGUCUAGAUUGUUUUAAAACUAACAUGAGAUUACUUGUUAUUUUGGGUAAUGGUUUCUAUAUCAUCGUUCAUGUAUGAUUGUGAAAGUUAGACGUAAUACUUGCUUGAGGACAAGCAAGAGAUACGCAUGAGGGGAUUUGAUGAGUGUAAAAUUAUGCUACAUUGGCAUUGCAAUUAACUUGCAUUUAAGACAUAAUUAAGUCUUCGGGAUUAUUUUUAGCUUUUAUUUCUCUUUGUUCAGGUUAAGCAGGUGUUUUUUGCUAGGUUGUGUAGUUUGAAUAAAUUGAAGCAAAAAAGAGUAGAGAUUGAGUGUAAGAAGAUGAAAUUCGAUAUUAAGGCUUUAUGAAGACCAAUUUAAUGACCAAAAAGAAGUUGCCUUGGAGCCUGAAUCAAAUAGAAUCAACUUGAAGUGAAGGCGCCACAUACACCCAUGGUCGUUGAUCAAAUAUUCUAUUCCAAUUUUUAGAUUUGUUUUGUUGGACUUAGCCCAAUAGUUUGUAAUUAGGAUAAAUAAUGGUUGUCCCUCAAGGAUGACACAGUUUAUACUUUACAUUACAAUUCUCUAAUUUAGAAUUUGGUAUUCUCUUCUCCAUCAUGAGUGAGUAAUUCCAUUUGUUUCAAGGAUUGGGGUUAUGCCCUUUUACAUUCAAUAAACACAUGUUCUUACUUCUAUUUCAUUGAGUAUUGUGAUUUGAAUCAUUAAAUUGAGUUUUAUUAGUGUGAGUUAUUUAGCCAACAAAUUACACUUCUUAGAUACAUUGGGGAAGGAGCAAGAGGUGAAACCAACUAUCCGACCAUCCAAUUAUUCAAACUAGAAUCCUAAUUCACGAGAGUUGUCUUAGAAUUCUUGGGGGUUUAUGGAAUUCACCUUGGGUUGCUACAAAGAAAUUGGAUAGAAAGAUCCAAGUAAAGAAUUUGAUUGAUAAUCGUACCACGAGAGUAGGUGCGUACCACGAGAGUAGGUGCGACUUCAAUUGAGUACAUGUGUCGGAGCUCAAGAGAGGAUGACACAUAUCAAAGAGCAAUUCACCCUCACAACUUAAAGUUCAUGAAAAGGAGCAAAACAAGGAUUUGCAAGUGUAAAGACAAUAACCCUUAUCAUGAGAACUCUUCCUAAAUUAGUUUUCAAUCAUUUUUAAUAUUUUCAAAAUUAUUCUUGUCAACUAUUCAGUUGUUCUAAAUUCACUUUUAAUUUCUCUUUGAGUUAAGUAUAAAUUAAUUGACGACAUAAUCAUGCACUUGCGAUUUACCCUACCAUAAUGUCUUAUCAAACUGAAUGAGAUAAGCUAAUUUAACCUAGAAGAUUUCAGAAGAAUAUGUCCUCCAGCUCCAUUUAUCCAAUUUGGUCCUCUUACAUGAGUAAUUCUAUAAACCACUCUUUUUCUCUCUCUCUCUCUCAUUGCCACAACUAAUAUCUCACACCCAUAUAUCAUUAAUACAAGAACCACAAUCAACUUUCUAUUUGGAGCUAGAGCAAAAAGUCUAGGGAACACCUCCUUCGAACUUUGAUUACCCACCAAGCUGUUGUCAUGUAAGGAUUGUUGUAUCAAUAUCACCGUUCCAUUAUGUCACGCCUAUAUCUCGUUGUGUUUUUUGUUACUUUGAAGUCCCUAGGAAGGAAUGCUCUUGCUCAUGUUUGUUUCUAUUUAUAUAUGCAUGUGUUAUUUAGUAAGGCAAAUAUAUUUUUUAAUAUUCCAAAGUAUUUUGUUGGCUUAUAUAGUUAUAUUAUUUGUUGAAGCAUUCAACAAAUUGGUUACUAAGUUGGACAAAAGAUGGAUAUCAAUUAGUGCUAUAUUUUUUUCUUCCUAUGUUAUGGGGUAAAGGAAAACAUACCAUACAUCUAAUCCAUUGUGUGGGAAACCCAUUGGGUAUCUAUUGUAUGUGUUGUAUCUAGCUCAGUUGGUCUUGCAUUCUAAUAAACACCCAAAGUCCGCAAGGAUCCUACUUGACAUAUAUUGAUCAUGCUACUAAAUUCUCUGAGUCUUAUGUCAUAUGAGAAAUUGAAGGCAAAUCCUUUGUACCAUAUUCCUCUUGCCUCUUUGUCGUGGACCAAUUAGAAUUUGUCAACAAAUAAAAAAUGAUACUUCAUUCUAAUUUUUUCUACAAAAGUAAUACAUUAAUAUUUACAUGUCUAUAUUUAAAUAAACGAGACAUGAAAUAGUACAUGAAUUUGGAACAAAGAAUAUAUAUUCAUUAGGAAUUUAGGAUAUAUAUUUACAUGUCUAUAUAUUCACAUGUAUUUAAUUUAUAUUUUUGAAUUUGGACAAACAUGCAUAUAUUUAAGGCUGUUGAUAUUUAGUAUUCCAAAAAUAAGAGAUAAUCAUUUUAAUUAAACAUUUAAAAAAAUGUUUUAAAUAAAUGUACAUUUUUUUUUAUAGAAUUUGAAUAGUUAAAUCUAUGUCUUGUGUCGUUUCUUUCACUCGUCCUAAAGCAGAAAUUCGGUCUGUCAAUUAUUGUUCAAGUAAUCUUUAACUUCUUGUUAAGUGUUAGGAGAAGGUCUACAACCAACACCAUCUACACAAUAUUAAUUCUAUAUUAAAUUUAAUUAUUUAUUUUAUUAUCGAAUUAAUUUUAUGGAAUUAUUAUAGUAUAAUCAUGGUUCAAAUCGUCACUAACCUCUUGCUUAAUGUGGAAAAAAAAGUUUACAAUUAACAUCAUAUCUAUGAUAUUAAUUCAAUUAAGUUGAAAUCAUUAUAUUUUAAACAUUAUUUUUAAUUUCAUCAAAUAAAUCAACUAAUUAAUCAUUUUCAAACCUAGAACUAUAUGUAUAAUGAGAUAAUUAAGUUGAAGUAAAAAGAUAUAUUUAGUUAGAUAGUCAAAUAUUUCUAUUUUGUCAUCAUAAGACUUCUACACAUUUUAGUACAUUUAUUUAAGAGUUAAUAAUAAUUAAAAAUGAUCAGUUUGUAUAUCUUUUCCUCUUAUCCUAUAUAUUCUUAAUAUAAUAGUAGUAACAUUUUAAAUUUUAAUAAUAAUAUGUUGGUCUAGUGUGUAAUGAUUUCCUUGAUCCCUUGAAGAUAAAAUGUCAAAAGUUCGAUUCAUUUGAAUAACAAUUGUUAAGAGGUGUAGCUACGUACCCCGAGAGAGAUGAGAAGUUAGUUUCUUAUCAAAAAGUGUGACAGCAUAUCCUUGGUAGUAGACCAGUAGUACCAAAAAAAUUUAGAUUUAAAUUUUUGUGUGUGGUAAAUUUGAGAUUCUAACUAAUUUUUAUUUUUUGUGUGGCAGGUAUGGCAACGAACAUUCGAGUCUUAACCUUUCACCCGCCAAGACAAGAGGGAAGAUUUUGGACACAAUCCAUUCAAAACCAAAACGACGCCGUCACUCUCCCCACACAAUUCUAAUUUCAACAUAAAUCCAGAGAAACGUAGAAGACUCCAGAAGCUACUUGUUUUUUCUCCCACCACCAACCUUCUUCUCCUCUCUACAUAUAAAACCCACUCAUUCUCAUUCCUCUUCCAUCGAAAAAUAAUCACUUUUCUCUCUCUAUAACUUUCAACAACAAUAAUCGCUUUUCAUUAUCAAUGGCUGACGCAGAAACCUUCGCUUUUCAAGCAGAAAUCAACCAACUGUUGAGUCUCAAAAUCAAUACAUUCUACUCCAACAAGGAGAUCUUUCUUCGUGAACUUAUCAGCAAUUCUUCUAAUGUAACAUUCUCUUCUCUCAUUCCUUCACCUUUUUUUGUUUCUGCAACGUUAUAAGUAACUGAUCAGGAGUUCGUUUUGACAUUUUCAGGCUUUGGAUAAGAUUCGAUUUGAGAGCUUAACCGAUAAGAGCAAGCUCGAUGGUCAGCCAUAGCUUUUCAUUCGCCUUGUUCCAGAUAAGGCUAAUAAAACGUUAUCCAUCAUUGUUAGCGGCAUUGGAAUGACCAAAGCAGGUACUUAGUUUAUAUUUAACCAAAGUUCGAUCCAACGCACGAGGCUUCGGGUUCGGGGAUAAUAGAUGUAGGCAGUCUUACCUUCUGUUGUCUUGAGAUUCACCCUAUAUAUAUUAAGUUAUAAAAAUAUAUAUAUUAUUACUUAACGUAUUCUACUACUGUAAUGGAUUGUCUUGGUUGCAUUGUGUUCACUAUAAUUGCUCGCAAUUGUGAAAAACUGUAAUGUUAUGAUAUGAUUGUGAGUUGAGUAUCGGAGAGAAAGAGAAAUUGAAGACUUCACAGCUAUCUCGGAAGUGUAUCUCAUAGCUUUGAAGUCUUUUCCUUUCUUCCAUUACCCUUUAAAAACGUACUUGCAAACAGACUCUUUGUUAAUUUGGUGAUUUCUAUGCAAGGGUGCAGUGGAUUGUUUAACACUUAAUUCUCAUGAGCUUGUUGAGUUUUGAAUGAUCUUAAUUUGUGUUUGUUUGUUACUAGAUUUGGUGAACAAUUUGGGUACAAUUGCGAGAUCUGGGACGAAGGAAUUCAUGGAGGCAUUGCAGGCGGGUGCUGAUGUCAGCAUGAUUGGGCAAUUUGGAGUUGGAUUUUACUCAGCAUACCUUGUUGCUGAGAAGGUGAUUGUGACUACAAAGCACAAUGAUGAUGAACAAUACAUUUGGGAAUCACAGGCUGGUGGGUCCUUCACUAUCACAAGGGACACUGAUGGAGAACAACUUGGACGAGGAACCAAGAUCACCCUUUUCCUUAAGGAAGAUCAGGUAACUUAAAAAAAUUCACUGCAUUUUCCUGUUAGUUCUUGCUGAAUACGUCAAUCACAAAUAUAUUAGUAAUUGUAAAUUCUUAACGUUGAUAGGAAUGGUAUGAAUCUUAAUUUUCCUUAGGUAAACCUGAAAAAAAUGGGGUUUUUGGUACAUGAAUUGAAUGAUGUCAUAAUGUUCCACAAUAAAUUAUCUUCAUUGACAAAGUAUUGAUCUCUAGCUUUGCCAAAAUUUCUGGAAUCAGAUUAGUUUGGUAAUGAUCCUCAAUUUCUUCGUACUUAAUCAAUUAUUUUGCGUACCUGAAUUUUGUACGGAUACUUUCUUAAGUUGUAUGAUUAUGAUAGCUUAAAAUAUCAAGUAUUGUGGUGGCUAUCCAUUAAGGAACACCACUCGAGAAACUAAAAUGCAUUGGGAUCGAAAACAGCAGAGAGUUUCGAUCUGGUUGCCGAAAAGAGCAGGGAAAAUGGUCCUGGUAACUGCACCACGUCGCCCGGGUGAGGGCGAAACAGAGAAGAAUGGUUCCAAAUAGCGCUUGGGUGAGAAACCCCCGCCUGGGCGAGCCAGCCCCGCUUAGGCAAGCGUUUCUCCCCUAGGCGAGGGCCAUACAACCUGUUUUGGGCAUUUUUGGCGCCCAGGCGACGGUACCUCGCCCGUGCAAGUACAGACAGGUAUUUUGACCAUUUUGGUGGAUUUUUAGCUUGAACGAUAGUCCCCUCGCUUGAGUGAGAAACAUGCAGGAAAUUGUGUAUGUUUUGAUGAAUUGGUCGCUUGAGCGACAGUCUCUCGCUUGGGCGAAAGACAAACAAUAUUUUUGACUGGUUGCGAUUGUUUGAUUGCUUAGGAAAUAGCCCUAGCUUGAGUGUGAAGUGAAUUUACCCUUGGGAAAGACCGUGACUCAGAUGAUUGAACCCGGUGCCCAAAAUUGACAAAAUUAUACAAAUACCUUUGUUCUUGCGCCUAUUUAGGGCAAGGUUUCCGACUGUGAUGUCGUGAUUAGGGUGAUACCCAAAAAAAAGGAUUACAUGAUACCACGCAGCGAAUUCGUCUGACCGUAAGAGGCUUGGAAAUGUGGCCGUCCAGGGUGAUUCAAUGAUGGUUCGUAAUGGUAGGGAUGUUAUUCCUCUAUUUACGUGUUGACGUAAGAUCAGGUCCCACAAGAAGCAUUCCUCUAGGAGAUGUCUUAGGUUGGACCGAUCAUAUAAAAUAAUGAUUAAAAGAUUUAAUAGGCUAACAUCGGUUAGUGUGCAUACUCAUUAUGGAUAAUGAAGUAGUGGAGAGGAAAUUUACAGGAGAGGAUCGAGCCCCGAGAUGUUGGGAGGGACAACGAUGGCGGUGGUUCAUCAGCAAAGUCUUGAUGGUGAGUCUAGGUGAGACGAGUCCCUUGUAUUCCUGGAUGGGGUAUUCUGUUGGAUCGGACAGUUCUCACAUUGCAAACUAGACGAUCUCUAACAACCCCUCUUUGCAAUUAGGAUCAAUGAGAUGGAUGCCCAGAAAGUAUUUGAUACGACACCGUCCUAAAAUGGACAGUUCUUCAGAACAAAUCGAUCAUAUAUCCUUGCGAGGAAUAACUUUGGUGCGUUCAAAUCGGCUUAUUGUGGGAAAUGUACUCUUGGUUAUUUCGGAAUAGUAUAUUGGGAGGAUAUUGGUGAAAUGAUUGAUGAAACAAGUAUAACAUUCAUACAUUGAGAUUGUGGACUUUGUUCAUCAUAAUCUAAGAUUAUAAUAUCAUUCAUCAUUGUGCAUUUUUAUAUGUGAUGUAAAUAUCGUGUUUAUUAUGUGUGUCUGUCUGGACGUGAUAUUCCAUGUAAUUCAACGCCAUCAAUGAGUAAUAUUCAUUAGAUAUCUUACUCCCUCUUCUUUUUGUUUGUCUUCAGAUCGCAUUUUGUUCAGAUUGAUCGUUCUGUGAGGAUUCAGAGUUACCGCUUCUCGAUGUCCGAAGAGGGGGAUAGAGGAUUGAGGAAGAUCGGUACACCUACACAAGCCCUUGCAACUUAGAUCUAUGUAGGGUACUUUUUGAUGUGAUGGAUGUCUCAACCUUUUGUGUAAUUGCAGUUUGGGCGAAUAUUUCUUCCACCUUGUAGUUCGUACAGAUAUUUUUCGUUAUUAAAUGAAGUAUUAUUUAAAGUUAUACUGUGUUAUUUUUGGUUACCAUUAGGUAACGGUUUUUUAUUUUCCGCAAUGUAUGUUACUUAAAGUGAUGUCCUGAAAAAGAAACGAAUGUAAAGAUGAUAAGUAUAUGUUACAUUAUUCAAAAACAAAUUUACCCAUUUUUGGGCAUUAUAUUUAUGGAGUAAUUUUUAGGGCGUUACACGGAAGCUAGUAGAGAGUGGGGUGGUGGUGGGAGGGUUGGGUUUUGGGAAAUAGGAAUAAAGUUUACUAUCAUUCAAUUUGCUCUUAAUCAAUUUUUAUGGUUUGAUGGGAUAAAGAAUACCGAUGGAGAAGAAGUUGGGGGUUGCGAUGGGGUGGAGAUAUUAUUCACCAUACAUUUGUAAUAUUUUUUUAAAGAGUUGUGAAGAUAAAAUUUAAAUGGUCAAUAAUAUAAUAAUAGUUUAAUACAAAGAGCCCAUUUGAAGAGAUUCCUGCAAAACUCGAUUAUGAAAUACUAAGUGGUGCAUUUUUCUAGACAAUUUCUAAAUAUUAAUAGAAAAUUGUUAAAAUAUAUUACUUUUUAUUUAAAAACUUGUAUAUCGCUGACGUCAACAGACAAUCACAUAUAUAUUUUUUCUUCUUAAAAGUAUAUGUAUAAUUUAAUAAGAUAAUUCAGUUCAAGUAUAAAGAUAUAUUUAGUUAAGUAUUGAGAAUGAAAAACUCUAAAUAUAACUUCUCUUCUAAACCAAUUUAACCUAAAAUUUUAAUAUUUAUAUACUGUUACUAUAAGACUUAUACACAUUUAUUUAUACCAUUUUUAUUUAAAACUCAAUAAUAAUUAAAAAUAAAAAAUAGAUAAUACAAUAAUAUAAAAAUUUAUUAUAUUAUUAGUAUAUAUACCUCUGAUCUUAAAUAUUCUUAAGAUAAAAGUAGUAAUAUUUUAAACUGGAAGAAUCUAUAUUUUAAAUAUUUUUUUAAGAUUAAUUGGAGAAAUGGUCCAAAUUUUUUAAUCUAAUAAUUAGAGUAAAUGGUUUAAGAAACGAAGUGUAGGAAAUUGUUAUUUUCACGAGUUAUAAAAUAGUUUGAUGAUUAGAGUAAAAUAUUUAAGUGAAGAAGGUUAAGAGUUUUAGUUUUACUCCAAGACAAUUUACUAACAAAAGAAUAAAGUAUGUCAUGAUAUAAUUACCGUCACUAAAAGUAUGACAUAUGUCAUAUUUAAUUAUUUUCUAAAAAAAUAUUCAUAUGUCAUAUUUUGACUGGUUGGAAGAUAUAACUUAUCUCAUAGUAUGAUAAGAUAUUUUAUUCUCGGCCAACAAUGAUAGAUAAAUAAAAAAAUUGAGUUUCUAACUUUUUUUUAUUUUUGCGCAAAUAUAGCAACGAACAUUCGAGACUUAACCUUUACCCGCCAAUACAAGAGGGAAGAUUCUGGACACAACCCAUUCAAAACCAAACGACGUCGUCUCUCUCCCACUCUAUUCUAAUUUCAACAGAAAUCCAGAGACGAAGAAGACUCCAGAAGCUACUUGUUUUUUCCACCACACCAACCUUCUUCUCCUCUCUACAUAUAAAACCCACUCAUUCUCAUUCCUCUUCCAUCGAAAAAUAAUCACUUUUCUCUCUCUAUAACUUUCAACAACAAUAAUCGCUUUUCAUUAUCAAUGGCUGACGCAGAAACCUUCGCUUUUCAAGCAGAAAUCAACCAACUGUUGAGUCUCAUAAUCAAUACAUUCUACUCCAACAAGGAGAUCUUUCUUCGCGAAAUCAUAAGCAAUUCUUCUGAUGUAACAUUCUCUUCUCUCAUUCCUUCACUUUUUUUUGUUUCUCGUAACGUUAUAAGUAACUGAUCAGGAGUUCGUUUUGACAUUUUCAGGCUUUGGAUAAGAUUCGAUUUGAGAGCUUAACCGAUAAGAGCAAGCUCGAUGGUCAGCCAGAGCUUUUCAUUCGCCUUGUUCCAGAUAAGGCUAAUAAAACGUUAUCCAUCAUUGAUAGCGGCAUUGGAAUGACCAAAGCAGGUACUUAGUUUAUAUUUAACCAAAGUUCGAUCCAACGCACGAGGCUUCGGGUUCNNNNNNNNNNNNNNNNNNNNNNNNNNNNNNNNNNNNNNNNNNNNNNNNNNNNNNNNNNNNNNNNNNNNNNNNNNNNNNNNNNNNNNNNNNNNNNNNNNNNAGGAGAAAGAUUCAAAGAAGAAGAAGAAGAUUAAAGAGGUUUCUCAUGAGUGGGAACUCAUCAACAAGCAGAAACCAAUUUGGCUCCGAAAGCCCGAAGAAAUAACCAAAGAUGAGUAUGCUUCAUUUUACAAAAGCCUCACCAAUGAUUGGGAAGACCAUUUGGCAGUGAAGCAUUUCUCUGUGGAGGGUCAGCUUGAGUUCAAGGCCAUUCUGUUUGUUCCCAAAAGGGCGCCUUUUGAUUUGUUCGACACAAGGAAGAAGAUGAACAACAUCAAGCUUUAUGUUAGGAGGGUUUUCAUCAUGGAUAACUGCGAGGAGCUAAUACCCGAGUGGCUUGGAUUUGUCAAAGGUGUUGUUGACUCUGAUGACUUGCCACUCAACAUUUCCCGGGAGACGUUGCAGCAGAACAAGAUCUUGAAGGUGAUCAGGAAGAACCUUGUGAAGAAGUGCAUUGAGAUGUUCAAUGAGAUUGCGGAGAAUAAGGAAGAUUAUAACAAGUUCUAUGAUGCUUUCUCCAAGAAUUUGAAGCUGGGUAUUCAUGAGGAUAGCCAGAACAGAGCCAAAUUGUCUGACUUGCUCAGAUAUCACUCUACAAAGAGUGGUGAUGAGCUGACUAGCUUGAAGGACUAUGUUACCAGAAUGAAGGAGGGUCAGAAAGACAUCUACUACAUCACUGGAGAGAGCAAAAAGGCUGUGGAGAAUUCUCCAUUCUUGGAGAGGCUCAAGAAGAAGGGGUAUGAGGUUCUGUUCAUGGUGGAUGCCAUUGAUGAGUAUGCUGUUGGACAACUAAAGGAGUAUGAUGGAAAGAAAUUGGUGUCGGCUACAAAGGAGGGACUGAAGUUGGAUGAUGAAACAGAGGAAGAGAAAAAGAAGAAAGAGGAGAAAA